rnacentral:lncRNA from 1 species
UUAUUUUUUAUUUUAUUUUGUUUUUUAUCGAUUUUGUACUCGUAUUGUGGAUAAAAUGUGUUUGUAGUGUUUAGCUUUAUAUUUUUUGAUUAAUUUGAAUUGAUGCAAAAAAAUAUUACAACACUGUUGUAGUAAUAAUAAUAUGCUUGAUUAUUGUCUUGCUUUGAUUGUGUUGUUAUCUCGAUGUUAAAGUUCAAUUUAACUUUGAAAAUCAUUUACACGCAUAGAUUCAGUUGCCCGACUUCUUAUAGAGUGAUUCUUACAUGAAUACACUCUAAGUUAGCUUAGAGCUAGAUUCAGUUUGCUCUCGGUUUUGGUUGGCAUUCAGUCUCGUGGCUUACUCUUGAGUCUUCUUACAAUGAGAUCUUAAGCAACAUCAACUUAACUUUCAAUAAUUUCAAACCUUUGUACAUUAAUCAUUUUAAUUUAAUUUCAAUACAUUUUCAUAAUUAAAAUUGGAAGAAAAAGAUUACCUGGGUGAAAGGUUCAGAUGUAGUCCCGAAUGUUAAGCCCAAGUUGUAAGAGCUUGUAAGCCAUAUGUAUUCGUCUUCUCUUCAAAAUAUUUGUAAAUAUUCAAAUGUUUUUUCUCAAUAAAAUUGAAUGAAAAAGAUUACCCUGUA